rnacentral:rRNA from 1 species
GAUGAACGCUAGCUACAGGCUUAACACAUGCAAGUCGAGGGGAAACGGCAUUAAGUGCUUGCACUUUUUGGACGUCGACCGGCGCACGGGUGAGUAACGCGUAUCCAACCUUCCCAUGACUAAGGGAUAACCUGCCGAAAGGCAGACUAAUACCUUAUGGUCUUCACUGACGGCAUCAGAUGUGAAGUAAAGAUUUAUCGGUUAUGGAUGGGGAUGCGUCUGAUUAGCUUGUUGGCGGGGUAACGGCCCACCAAGGCAACGAUCAGUAGGGGUUCUGAGAGGAAGGUCCCCGACAUUGGAACUGGGACACGGUCCAAACUCCUACGGGAGGCAGCAGUGAGGAAUAUUGGUCAAUGGGCGAGAGCCUGAACCAGCCAAGUAGCGUGCAGGAUGACGGCCCUAUGGGUUGUAAACUGCUUUUGUAUGGGGAGAAAGUCAAUCACGUGUGAUUGUUUGCAGGUACCAUACGAAUAAGGACCGGCUAAUUCCGUG